CAAGUGAAUGAAAACGGAAGGAAACUUAACAGGCUGUCGAGAAUAGGGCAGAACAUGGCCAAAUCGGCUCAAACUUCAAACCGGUGCACUACAGCGGCUGUCGACCUAAUGUUGCCUGGAAAUCAUCGUGUUAUUCGCCGCUUGCAGGUAAAAAUACAAGACUGCAGACAAUAAUGGCUUCGACACUGGAAUCUGGACUCGCUACAGACAUCAUCUACGGUGGCAGUCAGAGUGUGAUAGUGGCCAGAUGGCCAUUUGCCACAUCGUUUCCUGCUCUGAGCGAGUUACACCUGCAGGAGGAAGGCCAGGCAGUUUUUAGCAUGCUUGAUAGAGAUAUUAAAAUUUAGAGAAGAUGAGACAAAACAGAAGAAGUAUUAUCCCACGGUGAGCCGGUGUCAAAGUGAGAACUCGCCUGUUGUGUUGUGGUCCUGCAUGAUUAUGCUGGCAUGUAAACUAUGCAAGCCAUCUCUACGAUGUAAUCGUGGCGGUAAUCAGUGAUAGUUUUUCUUUGUCUGAUCGAAGGUGUCUUGCAUGAGUACAGCGCUCCUAUCAACGUGAUGCAUAAAGUAACCAAAUAUUAAAUUGAAAGGGGAUGUGUGGGAAUAUAGUUUUAUGAAACAUAAAAGCAUAGGAGGGAAAGAUAAAAGAUCACUGAAGGCAGUUCAGCUCCAACAGAAGUCCUGUUCCUGCUUUCAUGUUGACCUCUUAAAUAGAGUUCUAUAAAUAGAGGCCCUGCUAGGGCCUAACAGAGCAGUCUAAUUUCUGAAUACAUCCAUUAAUCACCAAGAGUAGGUAGGUUAGUGAGUAAAAGAGGAGUUUAUUUUUACCACAGUUUGGUGUGUUACUCUAGUGCAACACAUAAUUGUUGACUGUAUGUGAUAUAGAUUUGGUCCAGAGUUGUCCAUCAAAUGUGAUGCAAUGGGAUGUUGAUCAAUGUGCAGAUGUUUGACUUGUUGUCCUGGAGUUGUGAACAGGUUUAAAACAUUUUGUAAAAGCAGAUUAUUAGAUAAGAUCAUAAUGAUAAGGUUAUGUAAGUACUUGAAUGUUGAAAUGAAUAAAGCUGACAUGGAAAAUCUGAAUGUAUCCUAUGUUCUAUAAGCCUUUUUCAGACUUUGAAAGUAUCAAUGAGCAACUGAUGAUAAUCUGUAAAUUCAGAAAAUGUCUUCCAUGAAAUACUGUAUGUACCAACAUCUCACUGUCUUAUGAAAUAGCACCAUCACAAAAGAUCUGAUGAAACAUACUCAUUCCUGCAUGUUUGGAAGUGAGAUUGAGUACAAAUCUAAAA